ensembl:lncRNA
ACUUGGAGGACAGUUUAAUUUGCUCAUUUAUGGACACACCACUGUCCUGUGGUUGUACAGUUGUAGACAAAAUCAGAUUAUUGAUUGCACUGGAGAAAGAAGCAUAGUGAGUGUACACAGACAAAUACUAAUUGCAAGACUAAUUACAAACCAUAACGCUAAUCAGCUAAAACAUCUUUCUUUUUGCUGUUUGUUUUCAUACAUGAUAUAAUAAAAAUGUAUUUGCAGAUUUUCAGGUAAACAUUUACAAAGACAGUGGUUUUCCUGUUGAAGUUAAACAUAAAUCAGACAUUUUAUCUGACGUUAACCUGUCUAUGUGUAAGCAAAGUUGAAUCAAAACUCAGAAGUUGCCAAGUAUGAGCAUAUAUUUGACAUGGCUGAAAGAUCCGAUCCUAAUCCUAAACAUGCCCUUCAGCAGAACCUUUUCAAACUCCUUUGGGAAGUCUCUCUUUUGUUGCUGGAAUAUCGACAUUGCAGGAACAAGCAUGCUGAUUGGCCGGGAUGUGCAGACUGGUUGUAGAUGUCCUCCUGGUGAAUGUCGGCCUCAAGGUUCGUUGAACACGUUCAUUUUUAUGAGAACGAUGAACUGAACGCAACUUAACGACAAAUAAUGAAUUUGAACGGUGAACACGCUCAUAUUAUCUGAGGUCUAGCUAAAACGUUAUGGAAUGUUUUCCUUCUACUGAGGAGAGACGCUGUCUAAAUCGAAUGCUUGCACCAUGUCGUUGCUCAGUGCCCGUAACAUUUUCGCGAUGUAGCCUAACCUAAACCAACUAACUCGACUUUGCACUACGUGUCUUCGUGUCUUCCUGCGCUGAACGUCCCCUUUUGUCCUCUGUCCACACAUUUAUUUUAUACAUUUAAAUGAUAGAAUUUAAGGUCUAGCCUAAUUAUUGGUUCAUAGCAUUGGUUCAUAUUCAUAGCAAGGCAUAGCAUUAUAAUUUGUUGUGCCUUUUGUUUGCAGGGUGUGAAUACAUAAACAGGCACAAUUAGCAACAAUAAAAAAAAAUAAAAAUAAUCAUUUUUUUUAGGAAUUGAUACAUAUGAAGUACAGUUUAAGGCAAGGGUUAGUGAUGGAUAAAGUUUUCUUAAAAAAAUAAGUUAAGUCUUUCAUUCUCAAUUUCCACCUUAAAACUAUGAAAUUAACUGAACUAUGAACUAGUUCAGAAUUGAAAUGGUGAACUAUGAACGUGAACUAUUCAUGUUUACUUGUAUGAACUGAACUUUGAACUAGUUCAUGAGAGGUGUGAACUUGCACAACACUGCCAGGCUGUGGUAUAUGGCUUCUUGACUUAAAAGACGUAAAUUCUGAUUGGUUACUGUGAUCUUGACAUUACAGCGAGGCAAAUGCUAAUUGGUUGGGAUAUCCAGGCUGUCGUCGAUGGCUUCUUGACUUAAAAGACGUAAAUUCUGAUUGGUUACUGUGAUCUUGACAUUACAGCGAGGCAAAUGCUAAUUGGUUGGGAUAUCCAGGCUGUGGUAGAUGGCUUCUUGACUUAAAAGACGUCAAUUCUGAUUGGUUACUGUGAUCUUGACAUUACAGCGAGGCAAAUGCUAAUUGGUUGGGAUAUCCAGGCUGUGGUAGAUGGCUUCCAGGCGUGUUUCGGCACGGAGGUUCUGGUAGAUGUGGCUUCGGCGCUGGACCUCAGCGUAGAUCGGGAUGGAGGCUUCAGCGGGGGCCUUGGUUUCCACGGCAACCGUCGAGGGGGUGGCGGUGACAUCGACUGAGUUCAUUGUCUCGU